AAUAAACAUUUCCAAAACAUGCCGCGUGGGGUAUCAAAUGAAAGAGCUUAUUGAGUAGAUCACGAAUAUAUAGCAUACUAUAACGUUUUGAUCUCAUGCUUAAGAGUAUUUGUACAAGUUAAAGCAUCACCUUCAAGAUGGAAGAGAUCAGAAAAUUCGGUACACAGAUCAAAAAGAGCUCGAGUUUCCUCAGGAUUAAGAUGUGAUGAUCUUAUUUGUUCAUGCACUCUAUUUACUCUCUCUAAAGAUGUUUCAGAAACCACAUUCGUGUUUGAAAUUUGGAAUUGAUCAAUUAAAUCACAGGGAUUCAACUCAACUGAAAUAGACUUAAUUAUAACGUCAGAGCUAGUAGUAUUCAGGACAGACACAUUAACGUGAUUAUUACUUUUAAGUGAAACUAGACAACCGGAGAUGAAAAUUCCAUUCUGAAUUUCGGUUUUUUCUACGAAACCAGUGGUUACUUUAGGAUUUGUGACAUUACACUCAAUAAUCAUUUCGGAUCGAGCCGGAACAGUGUAUUCAGGUUUAGUAAGACCCAUGUGGAAAGGUUGGUUCAAGUAACAAAGGACUGAUUUUCAAUCUUAAAAGUAGAUAAUUGAUUCUUAUCUAUAAAGGGGCGGACCCUUUAACCUUGCAACACAAACCUUUAUCUCUGGCUAGUUAAGGUCCCUCCAGAUCUUAAAGACAGUAAACGUAGCAGCCCUGUCCAGCCGUGGCUUCAAGAAUGUGGUAAGGGCACCAACCCGUGGAGGCAGUGGAAGGACCAUACAGUCAAUUAUAAAAGUUUUACUGUCAAUCAGUCAAUUUAGCCAGUGCCAGUGAGUCUGGUUUACUUUAAGCAGAUAUCAAACACAUCUUCAUCCAACGCUGUGUGUUUUAGAAAGACACAUAAUAUUGAUGUUUUGCAUUAAAACAAAACAUGUAUUAUGUGUCGAAUAAAACACACAGCGUUGCAGUUUACUGCUUGCUGAUGAAGAUGCUAUGGAGCUUGGAAGAUGACAGCGCUUCAAAGGCGAUGAUGACAGAUGCCAUACUAGGGACGCGCUCUUGCUAGUGAGGUGAAAGAUCCAUCGAUAUUUGGUAAGGUGACCCAAUUUGCAUAGAGAUAUAUAGGAUUCAUAGACUGCUUUCUUCAUCCAACGCUGUGUGUUUUAUUCGACACAUAAUACAUGUUUUGUUUUAAUGCAAAACAUCAAUAUU